rnacentral:rRNA from 1 species
UACGUAGGUGGCAAGCGUUGUCCGGAUUUACUGGGCGUAAAGAGCGCGCAGGCGGUCGUUCAAGUCGAGUGUGAAAGCCCCCGGCUCAACUGGGGAGGGUCACUCGAUACUGAUCGACUCGAAGGCAGAAGAGGGAAGCGGAAUUCCCGGUGUAGUGGUGAAAUGCGUAGAUAUUCGGAAGAACACCAGUGGCGAAGGCGAC